AAAUUUGAAAACACAAGUCCAUCUUCGAAAUAUUCAUUACUAGUGGAAUUAUGUGUUAUUUAUUGAAUCUAUUGUGCUAUUUGAAUAAUAUCUUUAUGAAAUAAUUGUUAUUGAAGGGGAACUAGCACAACAAUAAAAUUGAUAAUGUGUGAUCUUAUGAUCAUGAGCUAAGAGAGGUAGAUCCGAGAUCCAUGCCUUUUCCAGUGGAGGCCAGAGGCUAGGACAGAAAGGUGGAAGACAAGAUCGGUUCGAGAACAGUGUAGUUCUCUCAUCCUGGUAAUGAUGACGACGACCAUGGCCUUGUCCUGCUCGAUGACCUCUCGGUUCUUGAACAUCCGUCUAGAAAGAUCCUUUGGAUGCCCGUGGAGCCAUUCAAACCUAACAAAUCUUGUUAUGUGUAUUCUGAGACACCCUUACUUCUUGAAGUCAACACUCCAAACACAACUCUGAGAGACAUUGUUGAAAAGAUAAUAAAAGUCUAAUUGGGGAUGAAUCUUCCCAUGGUAAUGCAAGGUACAACCCUUAUCUAUGAGGAUGGUGAUGAUCUGGAGGAAGAUGUUGUGGCUAAUUAUGCCUUGAACCUCGACAAGAACUCAGCAGAUCUCCCUGCACCACUUACUGGUGGCACCAUGCUCACAAUUGAAGAUUUUCAGCAGGAGUUGAAGUGUCAUAUAAACAUUAAACAUUGGUCAUUUUGCUACUACUCGUCAAACUAGUUCUACCUGGUCUACUCUUUCCUGUUAGUCCUAGCGAUAUUUAUGGUUCCUCCGGAGACUCUUUUGCGCUAACUGCUAAGUUUUUAUGAGAAUGCCUAUCAAUGAGUCAUCUAUAUCAUCAUUGUUACGUUCAUGUUUUAAGUUUCUGACAACAUACCUGUCUAGGCUAGGACCAGUACAUGCAGUGUGUCAGGUGAAAUACUGUACUGCUGGAUAACUUGUGCCAGUUGAAAGCAGUGUUACUUGUCGAACCUACCAUUCUGGUCCUUAGGCAGGUAUCUGCUAUCCAUUCUAGGUAAUACUCAUCAAAAUUUAAGCCCUAUUCGGCCACAUCCAUUUUGUUGUAUGGAACUCCUUGAACUUGUAGAAUUAGUAAAAGCAGCACAAGCGAAAUAUCUCAUUAGUGUUAUAGGUGCUCAGACUGAGUUGUGAGCAAAUGUUGGAGUUUGCUCAUUGAGACACACGAAUGCUGGAAUUGGCUUUUGAUCUAGCAAAGGAUGAAGUCCGUUGGCCAGAGAGCUUGCAGCAUCGUCUACAUUCUUCAGGGUCUACAUUCUUCAGGUCCCUCACUGGUUGAGGAACUGCACAACUUGAAUCCUCACCAGCUACCACUUGCACACAGCCGACAUCAGAGGAAGGUUGGAGAGGUCAACAUGAGUACGCUGAAGACCGACAUCUAUCAAUUGGCUAUGCAGGAUGCUGCUCAAUGGAAGAAGAGUCAAGGGUAUAUCCAAUCUGGAAGAAGACACACAAUGAUGUUCGAAGCAGGAGGCCUUACAGUGAGCGGCAGGAUCAGCCUUGCAAGGUGCUUUAAGGGUGGGCACUGGCACCAGCACCUCCAGCACGUUUAAUUCUGGCUGUUGAUUGAUACCCUGACCCACAUGACAAGGGUUUCUAAACUGACAACAAUGUGUCGAAUGCUGAGAUGAGAGUUGGAUGGUGUCAAUUUUCCCUGUCAAUUUGAGUGCAACUAGAAAUAAGGUGUAGAAGAGAAUGACAAUUGUAGAGUUGGGAAAAGCGAUGAAUUCAUAACAACGCAUAUUUCUGUAGUGUUGUCAAGAUAUAAAUGAAGAAAAUCUCUUGAUCCUGUUUAGUUUGAUUUAAUUGCAUCUUUUGUCGUCGAUGUACUGCUGUCGAUGUACUGAUGUCUGGUGGUUGAUGCUUUCCUUUUUUUUUCGUAUAUGCUUUAUCUUUAACUUUUCCAUUGUCUAGUAUUCGUGCUGCAAUAUAUGUUGUUAUCAUCACCAACUGUUGCUUCUCAAUCAUGCAGGGAUGACUUUGACGAAGAGAAAGAACCCGACCAUAUGGUCUUAUCUGAUGGACAGCUCCUGAGAAAGUCGAUACAGCUAUAAGUAAUGGAGCAAGUACAUCUGCUGAUCGUCCAACAAUAACAGAAGCAACAGAGUCUAAAGAGGUUGAUGUAGUUGCAGCAAUGCCUAGCACUAAGAGAAAACUGUCUGCUACAUCAGAAAGAGAAGGAAAUCAAGAAGUCCGCGAGGUUCUCUCAGUUCCUGGUAAUGACGACGAUGACCUUGUCCUGCUCGAUGACAGCCCCGGGCUCUCUCAGUUCCUGGUAACGACGACGAUGACCUUGUCCUGCUCGAUGGCUGCCCCGAACCAAAUAAGAAACUGAGGUUACAACAUUUGAGUUUUUGUAAAUGGUGACAUCUAGUUGCAGGCCCAGGUAAAGUUAGUCAUUCACUAACUUCUUAAAUCAAACUUAUAAAUUGUAAUUGCUCGUAAGUAAUCUAAAUUAUCUUCCGAAAGUUAGUGUUAGGGUGAUGUAUUUCCAUUGGAACCAUCUCGAGAAGAAUUGCCAGUUCUUUUGAGUCGAGUAGUCAGUCGUCCAGUUGAUCAUGUCAGGAAUUGUUUGUAAUAUCUUAUUGUGGGACACCUCGAGCUCGCCUCGAUUUGCUGGACGGUAACUUG